rnacentral:ribozyme from 1 species
GAAAGGAAAUUUUAUCGAGUAUGCGGAGGCUGAAGUGAAACUAAGGUUUAUCCCCCUGAAAGAGGGACAUCAAUCUCUUCCCAAAUUUAGACUUACGAUGAAGAAGACAGAGAAUACGAUGGAAAAGGGAUUUUCGAAAAAAUGCAUGGGGAGCAGUCAGAGCGA